rnacentral:rRNA from 1 species
UGCAAGUCGAACGGGAUUGUCGGUAGCAAUACUGACAUGAGAGUGGCGCACGGGUGCGUAACACGUAUGUAACCUACCUUUAACUGGGGAAUAGCUUCGAGAAAUCGAAAUUAAUACCCCAUAAAAUUUAGAAAAGGCAUCUUUUCUUUAUCAAAGCUCCGGCGGUUAAAGAUGGACAUGCGGUGCAUUAGCUUGUUGGUGAGGUAACGGCUCACCAAGGCUUCGAUGCAUAGGGGGUCUGAGAGGAUGAUCCCCCACACUGGUACUGAGACACGGACCAGACUCCUACGGGAGGCAGCAGUAGGGAAUAUUGGGCAAUGGACGCAAGUCUGACCCAGCCACGCCGCGUGAAGGAUGACUGCCCUAUGGGUUGUAAACUUCUUUUGUAUGGGAAGAAACCUCCGAACGUGUUCGGAGCUGACGGUACCAUAAGAAUAAGCAUCGGCUAACUCCGUGCCAGCAGCCGCGGUAAUACGGAGGAUGCAAGCGUUGUCCGGAUUCAUUGGGUUUAAAGGGUGCGUAGGCGGAGAAUUAAGUCAGUGGUGAACGCUCGCAGCUUAACUGUGAAAAUGCCAUUGAAACUGAUUUUCUUGAGUUCGAUUGAGGUAGAUGGAAUGUAUCAUGUAGCGGUGAAAUGCUUAGAUAUGAUACAGAACACCAAUUGCGAAGGCAGUCUACUAAGUC